UGAUGCAUGGAGCACUAA
rnacentral:snRNA from 1 species